AAUAUUGGUCAAUGGAGGCAACUCUGAACCAGCCAAGUCGCGUGAAGGAUGAAGGUCUNAUGGAUNGNAAACUUCUUUUGCAGGGNCAUAAAUAGCGGUACGUGUACCGUUUUGCAUGUACCCUGCGAAUAAGGAUCUGCUAACUCCGUGCCAGCCGCCGCGGUAAUACGGAGGAUCCGAGCGUUAUCCGGAUUUAUUGGGUUUAAAGGGUUCGCAGGCGGGAGAUUAAGUCGGGGGUGGAAUUUUGAAGCUCAACUGUAAAAGUGGCUUCGAUACUGGUUUCCCUGAGUGUGGAUGAAGUAGGCGGAAUUUGUGGUGUAGCGGUGAAAUGCUUAGAUAUCACGAGGAACUCCGCUUGCGCAAGCAGCUUACUAAACCACUACUGACGCUCAGGCACGAAGGCGUGGGGAUCAAACAGG
rnacentral:rRNA from 1 species